UGGGGAAUAUUGGACAAUGGGCGAAAGCCUGAUCCAGCGACGCCGCGUGAAGGAAGAAGUCCUUCGGGAUGUAAACUUCUGAACUAAUCGAAUAAAAGGGUAGUGGACACACUACAGAAGAAGGUAGAUUAGGAAAAGUCCCGGCUAACUACGUGCCAGCAGCCGCGGUAAGACGUAGGGGGCGAGCGUUGCCCGGAAUCACUGGGUGUAAAGGGGACGUAGGCGGAUGAUCAAGUCAUCUGUGAAAAGAUUGCUCAACGAUUGGCUUGCGGAUGAAACUGGUCAUCUUGGGCGUAGCAGAGGUAGACGGAAUUACCUGAGUAGGGGUGAAAUCCGCAGAUACAGGUAAGAACGCCGGUGAAGAAGUUGGUCUACUGGGCUACAGCUGACGCUGAGGUCCGAAAGCCAGGGGAGCGAACCGGAUUAGAUACCCGGGUAGUCCUGGCUGUAAACGAUGCUCACUAGGUGUAGGGAGCGAAAGACUCUCUGUGCKGAAGCGAACGCGCUAAGKGAGCCMC
rnacentral:rRNA from 1 species